rnacentral:rRNA from 1 species
UAGGGAAUAUUGGGCAAUGGCCGCGAGGCUGACCCAGCCAUGCCGCGUGCAGGAAGAAGGCCUUCUGGGUUGUAAACUGCUCUUGUCGGGGAAGAAAACGCUCUUGCGAGAGUAACUGACGGUACCCGACGAAUAAGCCCCGGCUAACUCCGUGCCAGCAGCCGCGGUAAUACGGAGGGUGCAAGCGUUGUCCGGAUUUAUUGGGUUUAAAGGGUGCGUAGGCGGCCCGUUAAGUCAGCGGUGAAAUCCCGGGGCUCAACCCCGGAACUGCCGUUGAUACUGGCGGGCUUGAGUUCGGUCGAGGCGGGCGGAACUGGCGGUGUAGCGGUGAAAUGCUUAGAUACCGCCAAGAACCCCGAUUGCGUAGGCAGCUCGCUGGGCCGAAACUGACGCUGAGGCACGAAAGCGUGGGGAGCGAA